rnacentral:rRNA from 1 species
CAGCGCGUAAUGGCGGGAACUCAAAGGAGACUGCCGGUGAUAAACCGGAGGAAGGUGGGGAUGACGUCAAGUCAUCAUGGCCCUUACGAGUAGGGCUACACACGUGCUACAAUGGCGUAUACAAAGGGAAGCGACCCCGCGAGGGCAAGCGGAACUCAUAAAAUACGUCGUAGUCCGGAUUGGAGUCUGCAACUCGACUCCAUGAAGUCGGAAUCGCUAGUAAUCGUAGAUCAGAAUAGCUACGGUGAAUACGUUCCCGGGCCUUGUACACACCGCCCGUCACACCAUGGGAGUGGGUUGCAAAAGAAGUAGGUAGCUUAACCUUCGGGAGGGCGCUUACCACUUUGUGAUU